GGCCGAAAGGUGUCCGCACGCAGCUGCUCCCUGGCGCCCUUUCGAGGAGCCGCUGAGGAUUCGUGCCUCCCAGAGGUGGGGAAAGCCCGCCCGAGGCGCCGGUGCUGACGGUGGCGGGGCUGCCGGGCGCGCUGUGGAACCGCCUCCCGCUAGAGCUGCGGGCUGGCGACGGUCUCCGAGGGAGCGGGAAGCGGCUCAGGCUUCCCUCGCCGGCCUGCGGCGGCGCGUCUGGAAGCGCGGGCCACUCGUGCGCGGGUCACUAGGGGCUGUGCCUCGCGCGACUGUGUGUGCAGGAAACAAGCAGGGAAUACCCUAAAAUAGAAUGAAGCGCCAUGUUGAGGGCCACGGACGUCGCAAGCGCUGUGGGAAUGUGGAGAGUUACAGGCGCGUGUUACAGGCUCAGGGCUCAGGAAGAAGCCUAAUCGUGGAGGCAGCAUCUGAGGAGGGUCUUGAACUCUGGGCAGGCUUUUUCCCGAUAGAGAUGGAGGAAGCUAGCCCUGUCUGAUGGAGGUAACAGGGCAGAGGCGUGGAGGGAGCCGUGCAGCGCUGGUGUGAGGAGCCGCGAGCAGGCCAGGCCUGUAAAGCAGAGUGAUGGGAACCAGGAUAGAGAAGGCAAUUUGGGGUCCUGUGGUCGCUGAAGAAUUUGAAUGAAAUCAGUAAACAGGUGAGAAGGAUCCAUCGCAAGAGCAUGGGAUGAAACGAGUAGUCCACGGUGAUUCCUCUGCAGCGAGAUGGAUUCUCACUCUGUUGCCCAGACUAGAGUGCAGCGGUGCGAUCUUAGCUCAUUGCUGAGCUCUGCCACACGGGAUAGAGUGAUUCUCUUGCCUCAGCCUCCCAAGUAGCUGGGACCAAAGAAGUUUUUAUUGCCCUCCUGCUCCGCAAAGGGACCUUGCUUCUGCUGGCUUAGCACCUCAAGACGUCUGUGAUGUUGGUCUCAGACACCAUUUUGCCAUCCACUAUCCUGUGGGUGUUGGUCUUUUGGAUGCUUUGCAGGUAUUUGCUGCUGUCCAGAAUACUACCAAGAUUGAAGUCCUUCCCAUCUUCUAGCAGGCGGCAGUAGGUGGCAAUCUCUGUGAAAUGGGACACAGAGAUCCAGGAGCCCCAGACCCCACGCCUGCAUAGAAGCUCGCCGCGCUGCUGACCUGCUGAGCACUUUAGCUGGGCGACUGGACAGAUCCCAGGGACAGGUAGUAGUUGAUGGAGAAGGUGUGGAGCAAGUGGUGAAGCUCGCUGUGUACGGGGAGGAAAGCGAGAGGACAGGACUCAGGUUUUGCCGAGGUCCUGAAGAUAAUUAUUGAAAUGCAUUAAAAUGGUAUCUCACUUAGAUAUUAUUAUUGUUUACAUUGUUAUAAGAAACAUGUAAAAUUGGCAAUUAUUUACAAUUUUACAAUAAUCUACAAUGACAAUAAUUAUAUAGUUUAGACUUUUCAGCACAUUGACAUUAUUCGACAUAUCUCUAGAACAUUUUUAUCUUACAAAACUAAAACUCAAUACACCUGAAACAACUGCCUGUCUUCUCCUUUGUUCAGCCCUUUACAAAUGCUAUCUUAUUCUCUGUUUCUAAGGAUGUUACUACUUUAGAUAUUUUAUGCAUGUGGAUACACUCAGUAUCUGUCUUGUAGCUGGCUUAUUUUAUUUAGCAUAAUGUCAUCAAGAUUUUAUUUUUAUUAUAGAUAAAAGGUUUUCUGCUUUUCAAAAGCUGGGUAAUAUUCUAUUGUUUUUAUAUUCCAAAUUGUACUCAUUCAUUUGUUUGUUGAGGGAAGUAUGGAUUGCUUUAACCUAUUGAUUUUUGUAAGUAAAGCUACAAUAAAUAUGUGAGAGUUUACAUC